GAUGAACGCUGGCGGCGUGCUUAACACAUGCAAGUCGAACGGAAAGGCCCAAGCUUGCUUGGGUGCUCGAGUGGCGAACGGGUGAGUAACACGCGGGUGAUCUGCCCUGCACUUUGGGAUAAGCCUGGGAAACUGGGUCUAAUACCGGAUAGGACCAUCGUUUAGUGUCGGUGGUGGAAAGUUUUUCGGUGUGGGAUGAGCUCGCGGCCUAUCAGCUUGUUGGUGGGGUAAUGGCCUACCAAGGCGUCGACGGGUAGCCGGCCUGGGAGGGUGGACGGCCACAUUGGGACUGAGAGACGGCCCAGACUCCUACGGGAGGCAGCAGUGGGGAAUAUUGCACAAUGGGCGCAAGCCUGAUGCAGCGGCGCCGCGUGGGGGAUGACGGCCUUCGGGUUGUAAACUCCUUUCGCCAAGGACGAAGCGUUUUGUGACGGUACUUGGAGAAGAAGCACCGGCUAACUACGUG
rnacentral:rRNA from 1 species